UACGGGGGGGGCAAGCGUUGUUCGGAAUUACUGGGCGUAAAGGGCUCGUAGGCGGCCAACUAAGUCCGACGUGAAAUCCCCAGGCUUAACCUGGGAACUGCGUCGGAUACUGGAUGGCUUGAAUCCGGGAGAGGGAUGCGGAAUUCCAGGUGUAGCGGUGAAAUGCGUAGAUAUCUGGAGGAACACCGGUGGCGAAGGCGGCAUCCUGGACCGGCAUUGACGCUGAGGAGCGAAAGCCAGGGGAGCAAACGGG
rnacentral:rRNA from 1 species